rnacentral:rRNA from 1 species
GACGAACGCUGGCGGCGUGCUUAACACAUGCAAGUCGAACGGAAAGGCCCUGCUUUUGUGGGGUGCUCGAGUGGCGAACGGGUGAGUAACACGUGAGUAACCUGCCCUUGACUUUGGGAUAACUUCAGGAAACUGGGGCUAAUACCGGAUAGGAGCUCCUGCUGCAUGGUGGGGGUUGGAAAGUUUCGGCGGUUGGGGAUGGACUCGCGGCUUAUCAGCUUGUUGGUGGGGUAGUGGCUUACCAAGGCUUUGACGGGUAGCCGGCCUGAGAGGGUGACCGGCCACAUUGGGACUGAGAUACGGCCCAGACUCCUACGGGAGGCAGCAGUGGGGAAUAUUGGACAAUGGGCGGAAGCCUGAUGCAGCAACGCCGCGUGCGGGAUGACGGCCUUCGGGUUGUAAACCGCUUUCGCCUGGGACGAAGCGUGAGUGACGGUAAUGGGUAAAGAAGCACCGGCUAACUACGUG